GCGCCUGUAGCUCAAUUGGAUAGAGCGUCGGUCUACGGAACCGAAGGUCACAGGUUCGAAUCCUGUCAGGCGUA
rnacentral:tRNA from 2 species